rnacentral:snRNA from 1 species
ACAAACAGUCAUUGGGAUAUGGCUACGUGAAUUUCCACAAUGCAAAUGAUGCAGAGACGGCUCUCGACACACUGAGCUAUACCAACAUUCAUGGCCGCUGUUGCCGCUUGAUGUGGAGCCAGCGAGACACAGGGCAAAGGAAGUCAAGCAACAGCAACGUGUACGUUGGCAAC